rnacentral:rRNA from 1 species
ACGGGAGGCAGCAGUGAGGAAUAUUGGUCAAUGGGCGGAAGCCUGAACCAGCCAUCUCGCGUGCAGGACUACGGCCCUACGGGUCUUAAACUGCUUUUAUGGGGGGAUAAAGUCGGGCAUUCGUGUCCGUUUGCAGGUACCCCAUGAAUAAGGAUCGGCUAACUCCGUGCCAGCAGCCGCGGUAAUACGGAGGAUCCGAGCGUUAUCCGGAUUUAUUGGGUUUAAAGGGUGCGCAGGCGGCCCGUUAAGUCAGCGGUGAAAUGUCGGGGCUCAACCCGGGCACUGCCGUUGAAACUGGGGGGCUUGAGUACGGAUGAGGUCGGCGGAAUGUGACGUGUAGCGGUGAAAUGCAUAGAUAUGUCACAGAACCCCGAUUGCGAAGGCAGCUUACCAGCAUACAACUGACGCUGAGGCACGAAAGUGCGGGGAUCAAACAGGAUUAGAUACCCUGGUA